AGGAACCUGCCUCGGAGUGGGGAAUAACACAACGAAAGCUGUGCUAAUACCGCAUAAUGCAGCUGGGUCGCAUGACUCUGGCUGCCAAAGAUUUAUCGCUCUGAGAUGGCCUCGCGUCUGAUUAGCUGGUUGGCGGGGUAACGGCCCACCAAGGCGACGAUCAGUAGCCGGACUGAGAGGUUGAACGGCCACAUUGGGACUGAGACACGGCCCAGACUCCUACGGGAGGCAGCAUG
rnacentral:rRNA from 1 species